GACAGAAUACAAAUGAUGAUUGCAAGGAAAUAAACCUAAACUAAACAUGGUAGUUCCUAAAGAUCAUCGCCAAAGAAAAUGCAAAAUAAGCAAAGAGAUAUUCAGAUUUUCUAUACUCUCUUUUUGGCAAUUUCCAUAUUACUCAAAGAAUUUAAUGCUAACACAAGAAAACAUACGGCUAGGAAAUUAAAAAGACAAGAACAUAUAUAUAACUAUCUAACAUGAACAGUGGGAAGAAACAAGAACUUGAGCUAAUACAUGGACUACAAAACUGAAUAUAUUUCUGCAGAAAAGGGAAGACACUGUGACGACACAUACAUGAACUGGAAUUACGUAAAUUCAGUGCAAGUGACAAGCAUACAUGUACCACACGGUUGACAAAUAUAACAUUCACGAACUUAUUUUAUAUAGAUGCAUGAACUAGUCAGAUCCCAGAAAACAAACACUAUAUUAUACAAGUACUAAACAGAGCAAACAGCUGUUUACAUGUACUCUUCAAAUCUGAACCUUACAAGUCUUGAACAUCUCUCAAUACUAUAGAAUUUCAGAGAGAGAGAGAGAGAAGGCAACAGCAGGAGGUUGAGAGAGAAGAAGCAGUAGCAGGGGGCGUUGAGAGGAGGGAGAAGGAGCAGCGGGGCAAAGGAAGAUGGAGUAGCAGCAACGACUUGGAGUUUGGAGAUGGAGAAGGAGCAGAACAACAGCGUGGUAGGGGAAAGUAGAAGAGCAGCAGCAAUAGGGAUUCAGAGAGGAGGCGAGCUUGGAGAAGGAUAGCAGCAGGGAGAGUUGUAGAUGAGCAGCAGCAGUAGCGCGGGGGAGAAGGAGCAGCAGACAGGGAUUCAGAGAAGCGAGGAAGAAGGGAAGAAGAAGCAGCGGCGGUGUGUCUGGCCGGGCACGCCAGCUGGAGGGAGAGGUCGCGCGAGGUGGGCACUGGUGGUUGGCGCUGUGAUGGAUGGAUGAUGGUGUGGGUGGUGGAUGGCGCGGGUGAUGGUGGAGCAACGAGGUCGCCGAAGCGCGUCGCCACGAUGGCCUGGCCGCGGCGGCGGCCGGAGGUGGGAGAAGAAGUGGUGAGGGGGAGAGAGAUGGAGAUGCCAGCUCCCUUUGGGAAUGGAGGCUGCUAGGGAUUUUGAUCCCCUCCGAUCAGAUCUGAAUGUUUUCACUUUGGCCCUCCUCCUUCCUUCUUUUGGCACAAGAUGAUCCCUCCACUUCUUAAGCUAGCCCCCCUAAGCUUUAAUCUUCUUCAAGCUUGAGUCCCUCUUUCUUCUCUUCUUGCCCGUGAUCUUGUUCCUCAAUUCUUUCUAGACAGGAACUUGUAGAUUAUAGUGCCUUGUCGCACUUUUCUGCAAAAGAAACACAAUGACUAGUAAAUGAUUCAUUAUAUGAUUUCCAUGCAAAUAUUCAAUAUUUCACAUCAAGAAUUAAUGGUCAUAUCUCAAUAAACCGCAUAUUUGAGUGCCAAAAGAUGUAUAUGAAAUGUGCUUAUCAAGUUCCCCCACACUUAAAUCUUUGCUUGUCCUCAAGCAAAGGCAUAUGACAAAAGCAAGAACAUGAACAGUGAACUGACUAGAGAAUGUCAAGUGAAGUAGAUCUCUAAACAAUGCAUGCUUUGGACUUGGCUAGUGAAAAUUAACGGUUAAGAGUGCUACAUAUCAAUAGGACACUAGUAAACUCGACCAUUUUAAACUUUUGCAAUGAUAAACGAAGAUUAGCAAGUUCAAAUGCUGAUUGUGCCAAAGGGUUCCUAAAGAGAGCAUGAUCCCAAAAAAAACUUAUUACCCGGAACAUAACAUUAUGGUAGAAGCACUUAUUGAAUUUGAAGGAAGUAAUGGUAAUAUUUUAUUGAUCUCACCAAUGGAACAUACCACCGAUCCCGAGAACAUGGUAUACACCCGGCUUGGCCAAUUAUUAGUUUUUUUUAGUUUGUCUCCCCAAAGGAACAUACCACCGAUCCCGAGAACAUGGUAUACACCUGGUUCGACAAUUACAUUUCUAUAAUUAUUAAUUACUGCCCAAGCUAACCUGAUUUCACAUGCCACCGAUCCCGGGAACAUGACAUGCUACUGUAGGUAGCCAGACUUAUUUAUUCAUUAUUACUUAUCUUAAAUGAACAACACAUAAGAACAAAAACAGGAAUCAUCACUUCUCCAUGUCUGGUUCACAUGCUACCGAUCCAGGGAACAUAGCAUGCUAAUCCAUAGUGGUUAGGUGAUUGCUCUCAAUGGGAAGACACUUGGCACAAAUUCAGCAUCUAAACAUGGUGAUCUAGGUGUAUCAUAGUAAAUGCAGAAAAUGACGAAGUUUUCUAGUGUACUAGGGAUUUGAGCACUCAAAACUAGUAGUUCUCACUAAUUUUAGCAAAGCAUGCAUGGUGUAGAUCACUAGUUUACAAGGCAUCCAAAAAUCAAGUUCACAAAUUCACAUCAAGCACAAUGCCAAAGGUGAGAUUCAGCUUGACAACAAGUAAUAACUGGCUCAAGCAACCCAACUAGCAAUUGAAUUCAGCAUGUAUUUAUGAUAUUCAGAAUGGGUCAUGAAACAGCUCACCGGGCUUAAUGAAGUAGCACUCGCUUGAUCACCUCACCAACUGCAGCUCUUCUCCUUUUCCUUCCUUAUGGAUGCUCCAGCUUCACUCUUCUUCGUGUGUGCCCCAUUGCUUCUCCUCAUCGCCAUGCUCUGACUCCACCAGGAUCCCAAGGAAUGUCACCUCAAACCUGGUCAGCAUGUAGUAAACAGUGCAGUAGCAAAAGCCUGAAAUAGGACUCACACAAACAACUAUAAGUGAUACGGUCGAUGCCCUCCAAGUCAUCAAUGGUAUAUCCAAUUAUAUAAGCAUAACUAUAAAGCACAUGUUUAGGAUGGCAGAAAUCAGCAUGGUCAAUACUCACACGAGGAUGACAUUUAUCAUUAAGCUCAAGACUAGCAUGGAAAUGAUGUGUUUCAUUAAGCAUAGGACUAGCACGAGGAAAGUAACUAUGAUCAUCGCAAAUGAGAGUAAUGCCACUAACAGGGUAUAUAUCAUCAUAUCCAAGCAAAUGAGUUUUCAAAUCAAUCUUAAGUGAUGGUAUCAUGUAAUGCAAGGUGGUAGCAAAGAAAUCACAAGGCAUCAUGUCAUCAAGAGGAUUGAGUAAACCUGACACAUCACGCUCUGGUAUGACAAUAGGCAAAUGAAUCUCAUGUUCUUCAUCUUCAUCUACAGCAGCUUCUUGUACUUCUUCAGAAGUAAUAGAUGAUGAGUCUUCAACUUGAUCACUUGGGAAUUGCAGCUCUUGACCAUCUUGUUCCUUGUCUUCUAGUUCAUCUUCUUCAAUCUGAGGUAUCUCUUGCUCAAGGCACUUGCUAUCUUCCUCAACGAAAUGUGAAGGUGCUGGAACCUCACAUGUAACCAUGGAUAUCUCAGCCACACUCAACUCAAGUUGUGAAGAAAUAGUGCUGCCAGCGUUGAUGUUCUUCUCAAUCUUCCUUACUUCUUCCACUAGCUCUUUUCCACUCUUGAUCUUCUUCAUUUCAUCUAGUAUAACCUUCCUAAUAGGAUCAUCCUCGGCACUCCAACUAAACUCGAGACUAAGCAAUGUGAUCUUUCUAUAUCAUCAAAUUCAUCUUGUGUGGGCACUUGCACAUGAGAUUGCUCGAAAGGUGCUGGAGUUGUUGGUUGACCAAAUGGAGGACCAUUUAACUCCAUUGGACACAUCUCCUGGUAUUGAGGUAUAUGAGUAGGAGGUGAAUAAAUCUAUUGUGGAGCAUAGUUGUGGUUCUCCUCAUUGUACCUGAAUCCCUGCAUUGGAUAACUAGAGGCAAACGAUGAGAUCUCAGGGUUAUUGCUCCUAUAUGACAUAUUCUGGUUUUUAGGCCACCCAUGUGUGUAAUUGUUUUGGUAUGAGUUAGGCAGUGGGGCGAAGCUCAUGCCAUAACAAUCGGGAGGAUGGGAGUAACCACACUGACAUUCAGCGGGCGAAUGGCCCUGAAAUCCACAAAUAUGGCAGGUAGGAGCAACAUAAGGAUGGCCUCUGGAAUUAGGAUCGUAAGAACUAGGCCUAUCCUCAAAAACUCCUUCUCGCUGUCGAGCUAAAUCAUCUAAUCGAUGGGAAAUCUUACCUAUCAGUUCUUAAACACUUUCCGUGUUGUUUGUAGUGUUGCUCGCAUAAGCCUGAUGAUCUGAAUAGUAAGCCAUAACCGAGAGGAUAAUCCAACCUGCAAAAAGGAAAAGAAGACAAAAAGAUACUAACUAGAACAGGGGUUAGUGGCUAGAGAUAUAUCACAAAUAUAUAAAGCACAAAAAGGAAACAAGCUAAACCUAGUCUAAAGCCUAGCACAAUCGCUCGACGCUAGUCCCCGGCAACGGCGCCAAAAUGAUCAAUUGAAAGUACAGUGGGGUUUUUACGCCCAAACUGCGAGUGUCGUGUUCUCCUCAGGGACUAGGCGACGACGACUAUGCUCGACUAAAGCUAGGUGACAGAAUACAAAUGAUGAUUGCAAGGAAAUAAACCUAAACUAAACAUGGUAGUUCCUGAAGAUCAUCGCCAAAGAAAAUGCAAAAUAAGCAAAGAGAUAUUCAGAUUUUCUAUACUCUCUUUUUGGCAAUUUCCAUAUUACUCAAAGAAUUUAAUGCUAACACAAGAAAACAUACGGCUAGGAAAUUAAAAAGACAAGAACAUAUAUAUAACUAUCUAACAUGAACAGUGGGAA
rnacentral:lncRNA from 1 species